CAGCCGCCACGGGAAUACAGAGGGUGCAAGCGUUAAUCGGAAUUACUGGGCGUAAAGCGCGCGUAGGUGGUUUGUUAAGUUGGAUGUGAAAUCCCCGGGCUCAACCUGGGAACUGCAUCCAAAACUGGCAAGCUAGAGUAUGGUAGAGGGUGGUGGAAUUUCCUGUGUAGCGGUGAAAUGCGUAGAUAUAGGAAGGAACACCAGUGGCGAAGGCGACCACCUGGACUGAUACUGACACUGAGGUGCGAAAGCGUGGGGAGCAAACAGGAUUAGAUACCCGAGUAGUCCCUGUCUCUUAUAA
rnacentral:rRNA from 1 species